AACGAACGCUGGCGGCAUGCCUAACACAUGCAAGUCGAACGAAGCCUUCGGGCUUAGUGGCGCACGGGUGCGUAACGCGUGGGAAUCUGCCCCUUGCUUCGGAAUAGCAGUUAGAAAUGACUGCUAAUACCGGAUGAUGUCUUCGGACCAAAGAUUUAUCGGCAAGGGAUGAGCCCGCGUAGGAUUAGGUAGUUGGUGGGGUAAGGGCCUACCAAGCCGACGAUCCUUAGCUGGUCUGAGAGGAUGAUCAGCCACACUGGGACUGAGACACGGCCCAGACUCCUACGGGAGGCAGCAGUGGGGAAUAUUGGACAAUGGGGGGGACCCUGAUCCAGCAAUGCCGCGUGAGUGAUGAAGGCCUUAGGGUUGUAAAGCUCUUUUACCAGGGAUGAUAAUGACAGUACCUGGAGAAUAAGCUCCGGCUAACUCCGUGCCAGCCGCCGCUGUAACAC
rnacentral:rRNA from 1 species